ACACUCUUGUUCAUUGUUUCAACAAGUUGCUCAUAGGCCUGUUUCGUCUCACCAGAGAAAGAUUCACUAAUCUCGUAGAGUGAAGUGAUAGAAUUCACAAAAUUACCAGGUAAAGCCAUUGGAUUCUCACCACCUACCGCUGUCCUCAAUAACUCUAUUGCAAAAUCGGUAACAGGACCAGAUCCUUGUUCAGACCGGACACCUCUAGCUACGUGAUAAUCAACUUCACCAGACGUGAGAAUU